UACCAGGAGAGAGGGAAAAUUUACAAAAAAAGAGUACAGGGCUCUUUGAUUUUUCAUUUCCCUUUCCCUCUACUCACUCUUUGUGCCUUCUUCAGUUAGUACCACACUAGAGAAGUGUUAGGUAGAGAAAGAGGAAGAAAGAAAAGGAGACAAUCUUAUCAGUUGAUUUUGCUAUGUGUUACCAGUCUGGUAAAAACAUUUGAAGUUAGAAAGUAUUCAAACAUGAAUAAAGUUUCAGAGUUACUUGUAUGGAUUUCAUUUCCUCAGAAUACCCUCAUUGUUCCUUCGCAGGAAAUAUUCAUAAGUCAACUAUCCAGAAUCAUAGUUAUUAUUCAAGUGGUGUGGGUUUAAAAGGAGAUCUGAUGCCAUGGCAAACCUCACUGACUUAGACUGUUCUUCAAGUUAAACAGCAGGAUGAUGUCUGAAGUGACUGAAACACAUAUGGCUUCAGUGUGUCAAGAAGACCUGAAAGAUCCCACAUGGAAGUGAAAUUCAUUAUUGGCAAGCACGGUGACAGGAGACCCCAGAGGGCUGAGCCGCAAAGAAUUUGCAGAGCCGUAUGGCUAACUCCAUGGCCUAGUUUGAUCUUGAAGUUAUUGUCUUGGAUAAUCCUCUCAAAUCUGUUCCUGUACUUAAGAGUCACUCAUCACAUGAGGGAGCUCCCUCUCAGGUUCCUUUACAUCGCCCUGUCAGAAAUGACUUUCAGGGAACACAGACAUCACAUCAAAUCAUCCAACAGAUGUCCCUUUCAAAUAAGUUGGAGCAGAACCAACUAUAUGGAGAAGUCAUAAACAAGGAAACAGACAACCCAGUGAUUUUCAGCGGAUUGGCACUGCUCUUAUGACAGAAACCUCAAGUUUCUUGGGUGGAAGAACAUGAGUUCAACAGAGGGCGUGUGCACUAUGCUGGCUGACUCUUGCCCUCCUGAGGCUCAUGCUGUUGACAGGGGAUAGAGGGGACACUUUUGGAGUCCAAAUCCUGCACCAUCUCAAUGAAGUGCUAUUCAACAUCAUGGCUCUAAGAAGUAACCCAUUUUAAUAACUGGCAUCAGAGGACUUAGGAGAGAGAAAGUCAGUAUCCAGACCCAUUUCCGUCAGUGACUCUCUCCUUGUAUUGGGAGGGUUGGCCAGAAUCGUCUGAUUCCUGUUUCUGAUUUCCUUCCUCACUGGCAUCAGAGGAUUGCACUACCGGAAGACUAAUAUCUAACUGAGCUCCAAGUGCUAAAUAAGAGUAUCUCAGGCUCAUUCCAGACCACCAAGAGGUUCGGGGUGACCAAGUCACAGACUAUAAAUUUGAACAUUUGAUGAUUUUUGCAGGUGACUGGGUGAACAAAGGAAAACCCAAGAGAUACAUAAAGAUGGAAACUAGGAUUUCUCAUUUGAAUUCUUUAACAUGCCUCACUCUGAUGGUUAUAAAUAUAAAGGAACUUUCACC